AUGCACGCUGGCGGCGUGCCUAAUCCAUGCAAGUCGAGCGAACAGACGAGGAGCUUACUCCUCUGACGUUAGCGGCGGACGGGUGAGUAACACGUGGAUAACCUACCUAUAAGACUGGGAUAACUUCGGGAAACCGGAGCUAAUACCGGAUAACAUGUUGAACCGCAUGGUUCAACAGUGAAAGACGGUCUUGCUGUCACUUAUAGAUGGAUCCGCGUCGCAUUAGCUAGUUGGUAAGGUAACGGCUUACCAAGGCAACGAUGCGUAGCCGACCUGAGAGGGUGAUCGGCCACACUGGAACUGAGACACGGUCCAGACUCCUACGGGAGGCAGCAGUAGGGAAUCUUCCGCAAUGGGCGAAAGCCUGACGGAGCAACGCCGCGUGAGUGAAGAAGGUCUUCGGAUCGUAAAACUCUGUUAUUAGGGAAGAACAAAUGUGUAAGUAACUAUUCACGUCUUGACGGUACCUAAUCAGAAAGCCACGGCUAACUACGUG
rnacentral:rRNA from 1 species